rnacentral:tRNA from 1 species
GCCUUCGUGAUGUAGUGGUCAGCACGCUCGGUGAGUAACCGAGAGGUCCGUGGUUCGAUUCCCGGCGAAAGCG